rnacentral:rRNA from 1 species
UACGAAGGGGGCUAGCGUUGCUCGGAAUCACUGGGCGUAAAGGGUGCGUAGGCGGGUCUUUAAGUCGGAUGUGAAAGCCCUUGGCUCAACUGAGGAAGUGCACCCGAAACUGAGUGGCUAGAGUACGAAAGAGGGUCGCGGAAUUCCCGGUGUAGAGGUGAAAUUCGUAGAUAUCGGGAGGAACACCGGUGGCGAAGGCGGCGACCUGGGUCGAUACUGACGCUGAUGCGCGAAAGCGUGGGGAGCAAACAGG